rnacentral:rRNA from 1 species
AUAACGACUCUCGGCAACGGAUAUCUAGGCUCUUGCAUCGAUGAAGAACGUAGCGAAAUGCGAUACUUGGUGUGAAUUGCAGAAUCCCGUGAACCAUCGAGUCUUUGAACGCAAGUUGCGCCCGAAUCCUUCUGGCCGAGGGCACGCCUGCCUGGG